UUAAGCCAUGCAUGUUUCCGCAAUCAGGGACGAAUAGCUCAGUAAAACUGCGAUGAUUUAGUCUGGCUGUGUAGAUAACUACGUGAAAAUGUAGCUAAGGGAAGGCAGAAUAAGACGCAGGACUAUCAGUUAGUUGGUAGUGUAAUGGACUACCAAGACAGUGACGGUUGACGGGAAAUUAGGGUUUUGUACCGGAGAGGGAGCCUGAGAGAUUGCUCCCACGUCCAAGGACGGCAGCAGGCGCGAAAAUUGCCCACUCUUUGCAGGAGGCAGUUAUGAGACGUGAAGAUGAGUAUCUUGUAAAGAGGGAUAGGAGAAUUGGAGGGCAAGUUUGGUGCCAGCAGCCGCGGUAAUACCGACUCCAAGAGUGUGUAUGAGAGAUGCUGCAGUUAAAAAGUCCGUAGUCAUAGAAGGGCAAAGAGAGAUGCGAGGUCUCACAGUGCGAUGAUGGAGGAGCCGAUGGGGAACAUAGUAUACCAGGGCGAGAGAUGAAAUGCCCAGACCCCUGGUGGACUGAGCGAGGCGAAGGCGAU
rnacentral:rRNA from 1 species